GGGUUGUGAGGUUAAGCGACUAAGCGUACACGGUGGAUGCCCUGGCAGUCAGAGGCGAUGAAGGACGUGCUAAUCUGCGAAAAGCGCCGGCGAGGUGAUAUGAACCCUUGACCCGGCGAUGUCCGAAUGGGGAAACCCAGUGCAAUCCGUUGCACUAUCGUUAACUGAAUACAUAGGUUAACGAGGCGAACCGGGGGAACUGAAACAUCUAAGUACCCCGAGGAAAAGAAAUCAACCGAGAUUCCCCCAGUAGCGGCGAGCGAACGGGGAGCAGCCCGGAGUCUGAAUCAGCUUGUGUGUUAGUGGAACGGUCUGGAAAGUCCGACGGUACAGGGUGAUAGUCCCGUACACGAAAGCACACUUGCUGUGAACUCGAAGAGUAGGGCGGGACACGUGGUAUCCUGUCUGAAUAUGGGGGGACCAUCCUCCAAGGCUAAAUACUCCUGACUGACCGAUAGUGAACCAGUACCGUGAGGGAAAGGCGAAAAGAACCCCGGCGAGGGGAGUGAAAAAGAACCUGAAACCGUGUACGUACAAGCAGUGGGAGCCUCUUUAUGGGGUGACUGCGUACCUUUUGUAUAAUGGGUCAGCGACUUAUAUUCUGUAGCAAGGUUAACCGUAUAGGGGAGCCGAAGGGAAACCGAGUCUUAACUGGGCGUUAAGUUGCAGGGUAUAGACCCGAAACCCGGUGAUCUAGCCAUGGGCAGGUUGAAGGUUGGGUAACACUAACUGGAGGACCGAACCGACUAAUGUUGAAAAAUUAGCGGAUGACCUGUGGCUGGGGGUGAAAGGCCAAUCAAACCGGGAGAUAGCUGGUUCUCCCCGAAAGCUAUUUAGGUAGCGCCUCGUGAACUCAUCUUCGGGGGUAGAGCACUGUUUCGGCUAGGGGGCCAUCCCGGCUUACCAACCCGAUGCAAACUACGAAUACCGAAGAAUGUUAUCACGGGAGACACACGGCGGGUGCUAACGUCCGUCGUGAAGAGGGAAACAACCCAGACCGCCAGCUAAGGUCCCAAAGUCAUGGUUAAGUGGGAAACGAUGUGGGAAGGCACAGACAGCCAGGAUGUUGGCUUAGAAGCAGCCAUCAUUUAAAGAAAGCGUAAUAGCUCACUGGUCGAGUCGGCCUGCGCGGAAGAUGUAACGGGGCUAAACCAUGCACCGAAGCUGCGGCAGCGACGCUUAUGCGUUGUUGGGUAGGGGAGCGUUCUGUAAGCCGUUGAAGGUGUGCUGUGAGGCAUGCUGGAGGUAUCAGAAGUGCGAAUGCUGACAUAAGUAACGAUAAAGCGGGUGAAAAGCCCGCUCGCCGGAAGACCAAGGGUUCCUGUCCAACGUUAAUCGGGGCAGGGUGAGUCGACCCCUAAGGCGAGGCCGAAAGGCGUAGUCGAUGGGAAACAGGUUAAUAUUCCUGUACUUGGUGUUACUGCGAAGGGGGGACGGAGAAGGCUAUGUCAGCCGGGCGACGGUUGUCCCGGUUUAAGCAUGUAGGCGGAGGUUCCAGGUAAAUCCGGUACCUUAUUAACGCUGAGGUGUGAUGACGAGGCACUACGGUGCUGAAGUGAUAAAUGCCCUGCUUCCAGGAAAAGCCUCUAAGCAUCAGGUAACACGAAAUCGUACCCCAAACCGACACAGGUGGUCAGGUAGAGAAUACCAAGGCGCUUGAGAGAACUCGGGUGAAGGAACUAGGCAAAAUGGUGCCGUAACUUCGGGAGAAGGCACGCUGAUGUGUAGGUGAAG
rnacentral:rRNA from 1 species